rnacentral:rRNA from 1 species
UUUGGAUGGACUCGCGGCCUAUCUUGUUGUUGGUGAGGUGAUGGCUCACCRAGGSGACGACGGGUAGCCGGCCUGAGAGGGUGACCGGCCACGCUGGGACUGARACACGGCCCACACUCCUACGGGAGGCAGCAGUGGGGAAUAUUGCACAAUGGGCGCAAGCCUGAUGCAGCGACGCCGSGUGAGGGAUGACGGCCUUCGGGUUGUAAACCUCUUUCAGUAGGGAAGAAGCGAAAGUGACGGUACCUGCAGAAGAAGCGCCGGCUAACUACGUGCCAGCAGCCGCGGUAAUACGUAGGGCGCAAGCGUUAUCCGGAAUUAUUGGGCGUAAAGAGCUCGUAGGCGGUUUGUCGCGUCUGCCGUGAAAGUCCGGGGCUCAACUCCGGAUCUGCGGUGGGUACGGGCAGACUAGAGUGAUGUAGGGGAGACUGGAAUUCCUGGUGUAGCGGUGAAAUGCGCAGAUAUCAGGAGGAACACCGAUGGCGAAGGCAGGUCUCUGGGCAUUAACUGACGCUGAGGAGCGAAAGCAUGGGGAGCGAACAGGAUUAGAUACCCUGGUAGUCCAUGCCGUAAACGUUGGGCACUAGGUGUGGGGGACAUUCCACGUUUUCCGCGCCGUAGCUAACGCAUUAAGUGCCCCGCCUGGGGAGUACGGCCGCAAGGCUAAAACUCAAAGGAAUUGACGGGGGCCCGCACAAGCGGCGGAGCAUGCGGAUUAAUUCGAUGCAACGCGAAGAACCUUACCAAGGCUUGACAUGAACCGGAAAGACCUGGAAACAGGUCCCCCACUUGUGGUCGGUUUACAGGUGGUGCAUGGUUGUCGUCAGCUCGUGUCGUGAGAUGUUGGGUUAAGUCCCGCAACGAGCGCAACCCUCGUUCCAUGUUGCCAGCGCGUUAUGGCGGGGACUCAUGGGAGACUGCCGGGGUCAACUCGGAGGAAGGUGGGGACGACGUCAAAUCAUCAUGCCCCUUAUGUCUUGGGCUUCACGCAUGCUACAAUGGCCGGUACAAAGGGUUGCGAUACUGUGAGGUGGAGCUAAUCCCAAAAAGCCGGUAUCAGUUCGG